ACUGAAGUAAUCUACAGUUAUAAAUGAAAAGACGUCGAACCCAAGGUUAGCAAUCUCAUGCAAAAACAUCCACGUUUGUUAAACACAAACAGCCUUAGAGAACGCACCGUUUACAGGAAUUAUUAUGUUUAGCAUCUGGUUAGCUACAUGCACUAACAAAUAUCAGAAACUUUUUUUAUAACAAGGUGGAGGAGUGUCCUCUCCUGUCAGAGAGGCUGAGAUAACCUCAGCUGUUAGUCUAAGUUAUCUCAGUGGCUCUCAAACGGUUUGGUCAGGGCACACACCUUUAUAUUUAUUUUAUAUAUAUUUAUAUUAUUAUACUUAUAUCAAAAAAAAAAACAGAAUAAAUAAAAACUGGUAUGAAAGUUAAAAAAAAAUACAGUUUAAAAAGGGCAGUGAUUAAUAAAAUAUGCAUAAAUAACCCAUUCACAACAAGAAAUAUAAAAUAAAAAUAAACAAGUUCAGAUUAUUUGUUAUUGGCUAUGUUAUUGAUUAUUGAAAUAUAUACAUACAUUUUUCAUAUGGGUGUUGAGAGAUGUAUCCAUAGAUUUAGUCCCUAAUUUGGAACUCAAAGUGCACCACAUUUCCAAAAAAAACUUCCAAGAUUUAACUUAAUUAUAUUUGACUAAUAUUAUAGAAUACUCAUGCUUUCAGAACGCUGGCCUGCUGUGAUUGGUCUAUAUGCAGCUAACUCCUCCCCUUUCAUUGGAACACGCUUUUAGCCAUACUGAGAAACCCUGGGUCGAUUUAGCAGGAUGGCAUUUGAGAGUGCUUCAUAUUUCACAUAUGAAGAGUGAACUAUAAUAUUCUCUCUAAAAGUUAAACCAUAAACAUCCAUGAUUUGAAGACAUUACUCAAUAUAACAGCAGCACAGUGGCAGUUGCCAAUUGCCACUGCUUGCAAAAAAAUGUCAAUGCGUAAAUUAACAGAUUUUCAUUAUAUCAGUGUGGGCCAUUCCAGGAUAAUAAAGUAUACUUAGUGAUAUGUAUUUAUUGUCCUAUUUGUAACCGCGGCCGUGCACACGGCCUAAAGUUAGCUGUCCUGCUGAUCAAAUUUGCCCUUUUUCUCAAAUCUAUCAAACAACAAAACUCCUCAGAUUCAAUUAGAAACAAGAUACAGUUGGCAGUCAACAAAAAGGAUGAAGACAAGGAUUUACUCCCAAGAAUAUGAUAUUUAUUUAUAAAUAUCAGACACAUUUAAUACAUUACAAACAGUACAUCAACCAGUAAAAACAAUAAUUUAUUAGUAAUUCAUCAACAAGAGUAUUAUUUGAUAUGGUAUCCAGCCUAGAAAAACAGACUAAACGAGCGUAGACAAUUACUGUUGAGAGUGGACACACACACACACACACACACACACACACACACACACACACACACACACACACACACACACACACACACACACACACACACACACACACACACACACACACACACACACACACACACAGCAGUGAAGUGCACGUGCGACAUUCACAGCAAAAAAAUCGGAACUCCACACUUUUCCUUGAACCACAACAAAUAUUAGAUACAGUGAGUGUGUGCAUGUGUGUGUUAAUAUGCAAAGGAAGGGACAGUGUAUGGCAUCAUGACAGGGUAGGGCAGUGAUUGGUAUAGUGCAUAAUAAGGUGUGUAAUGUGCCAUGGGGACUGUGGGCAUCCCCCAUGGUGGCAGUGUUUGUGCCCCACAAAGUCCAACAGUGUUCACAGACCCCUGAGACUGGUAGGAUGGCUGACCCAGGGAUUCAUAUGUCAAUGUCUUUGGAGGUCUCCUGUCCCGUACUGGUCGCCUGGCUGAUUCACACAGAGGGGUGGUAGAUCUAUCAGUCAAUGUCACAUCUGGCUGGACCAUUCUGAUGUUGAUUCUCAGUGUCCUGUGCAUGGUCACUUCCUGCUGUUUGUUCAUACUCAUUGUCAUUUAUCUGUUGAAAUUCCUGUUGACUGGAUUGGUCCUGCUCCAUCAGUACAUGUUCCUCUGGUGUGAUCCUCAGCUGUCGUAAUGCUUCUCCUGUCGGUGUGAUCAACCGUGCUUGUUCAUGUGAGGAUGGAGAAGUCACAGUGUGUCUCUGGGGCACAUAGGGAAGCGUGGCAUACUCACAGGUAAGUCAUUUACCAUGUGGAGAAGAUUUCUGUGAAGAGUACGUAUUUUAUUGCCACCUGUCUCGGGACACACUUUGUAAAUGGGGCUCUCAUUUACCUGUUCUUUAACCACAUACACUUUUUGUUCCCAAUAGGACCUCAGCUUUCCCGGCCCUCCUCUCUCACUCAGAUUACGAACCAGUACUCUGUCACCGGGCUGCAGGACCACUCCCCUCACAUGACGGUCAUAUUGUCUCUUCCCUCGUGCGCUGGACUGCUGGCUGUUCUGAGCUGCUAUUCGGCCAAAGAGCAGAUCUACUGGGAGGCAAGGAUGGCGCCCAAACAUGAGGUAGUGGGGUGAGAAACCUGUGACCUCAUGUCUGGUGCAAUUGUAUGCAUGCACAACCUGUGGGUUUCCCUGUGGAUGGUACGGAGUCGUUCUGGAGUGGCUCACUCAGCCAGCUUCUGCAGGGUCGUGAACAGGGCCUUUUUCGAAUUCCCGGCCUUGAUCGUGGUGCAGCCUGCCCGGGAACCCAAACCGAGGAAUAAAGUCAUUGAAUAUUU